ACCGAAAUAGCUCAGUUGGGAGAGCGUUAGACUAUAGAUCGAAAAGUCCCAGGUUCGAUCCCGGGUUCCGGCA
rnacentral:tRNA from 1 species